GACGAACGCUGGCGGCGUGCUUAACACAUGCAAGUCGAACGGAAAGGCCCUGCUUUUGUGGGGUGCUCGAGUGGCGAACGGGUGAGUAACACGUGAGUAACCUGCCCUUGACUUUGGGAUAACUUCAGGAAACUGGGGCUAAUACCGGAUAGGAGCUCCUGCUGCAUGGUGGGGGUUGGAAAGUUUCGGCGGUUGGGGAUGGACUCGCGGCUUAUCAGCUUGUUGGUGGGGUAGUGGCUUACCAAGGCUUUGACGGGUAGCCGGCCUGAGAGGGUGACCGGCCACAUUGGGAGUGGGAUGCGGCCCCGGCCCCCUCGGGAGGCAAGCGGGGGGGAAAUUGCAAAAAGGGGGGGAGGCGUGAGCCGGCACGCGCGGGUGGGGAUGGAGGGCUUCGGGUUUGAAACCCGUUUCCCCUGGUGAGGAAGGGGGAGGAAGGUAAGGGGGUAAAAAGGCCCGGGCAAAAAAGGGG
rnacentral:rRNA from 1 species